GAUGAGUUCUCCCUGAGACUAUAAGUCUCCUGAAGGAACGUUGAAGACGACGACGUUGAUAGGCCGGGUGUGUAAGCGCAGCGAUGCGUUGAGCUAACCGGUACUAAUGAACCGUGAGGCUUAACCUUACAACGCCGAAG
rnacentral:rRNA from 1 species